CAGGAUGAGUGCUUUGGGGCAGUGCUCUCCUCUGAAGGUGUGGGCUUCACCUUGAUCAAAUUCACUUUGCAUAUCACUGGAGUGACCUUAUCAAGACUGGGAAGAAGUCAGGAGAGUGUGCAUGGUUUUCUUGAUCCAGAAUCAACACCUUUCUAGCUCUACUCAACACCCCCCUCAAAGUGGAGCAGUGCCCAGGCUUUUGAAGGCAGAUGCUGAUGGAUAGAUCUUCCCAGAUAGACUGCAGAGCGGUGUGAAAUGCACAUCACCUACCUACCUACAGCCACGGGAGUCACAAACCAUGGUCCCCUGAGGCUGAGGAGCUUGAUCAAGGCGACAGUGCCACCAUGUUGACAGUGCCAA